rnacentral:rRNA from 1 species
UGAGUGGCGAACUGGUGAGUAACACGUGGGAAACCUGCCCAGAAGCGGGGGAUAACACCUGGAAACAGAUGCUAAUACCGCAUAACAACUUGGACCGCAUGGUCCGAGCUUGAAAGAUGGCUUCGGCUAUCACUUUUGGAUGGUCCCGCGGCGUAUUAGCUAGAUGGUGGGGUAACGGCUCACCAUGGCAAUGAUACGUAGCCGACCUGAGAGGGUAAUCGGCCACAUUGGGACUGAGACACGGCCCAAACUCCUACGGGAGGCAGCAGUAGGGAAUCUUCCACAAUGGACGAAAGUCUGAUGGAGCAACGCCGCGUGAGUGAAGAAGGGUUUCGGCUCGUAAAACUCUGUUGUUAAAGAAGAACAUAUCUGAGAGUAACUGUUCAGGUAUUGA